rnacentral:rRNA from 1 species
GACAGAGGGUGCAACCGUUGUUCGGAUUUACUGGGCGUAAAGCGCGUGUAGGCGGCUUUGCAAGUCGGAUGUGAAAGCCCCCGGCUCAACCGGGGAGGGUCGUCGGGGACGGGAUCGCUUGAGGACGGCAGGGGCAGGUGGAAUUCCCGGUGUAGUGGUGAAAUGCGUAGAGAUCGGGAGGAACACCCGUGGCGAAGGCGGCCUGCUGGGCCGAUCCCGACGCUGAGGCGCGAAGGCGUGGGGAGCGAACGGG